rnacentral:rRNA from 1 species
CAACUAGGGAAUUGCGUCUCAGACUGCAGGGCUUGAGGACAGGAGAGGAGACGGGAAUCCCGGUGUAGCGGUGAAAUGCACUGAUAUCGGGAGGAACACCAGUGGCGAAGGCGCGUCUCUGGCCUGUACCUGACGCUAAGGCGCGAAAGCUGGGGGAGCAAACAGGAUUAGAUACCCUGGUAGUCCCAGCUGUAAACGGUGGGCACUAGGUGUGGGGGGCAUCGAUCCCUUCCGUGCCGCAGCUAACGCAUUAAGUGCCCCGCCUGGGGAGUACGACCGCAAGGUUGAAACUCAAAGGAAUUGACGGGGGCCCGCACAAGCGGUGGAGCAUGUGGUUUAAUUCGAUGCAACGCGAAGAACCUUACCUGGGUUUGACAUGCACUGGCUGGGUGUGGAAACACACCUUCCCUUCGGGGCUGGUGCACAGGUGCUGCAUGGCUGUCGUCAGCUCGUGUCGUGGGAUGUUGGGUUAAGUCCCGCAACGAGCGCAACCCUUGUCCCUAGUUGCCAGCGGGUAAAGCCGGGCACUCUAGGGAGACUGCUGUCGAUGAGACGGAGGAAGGUGGGGAUGACGUCAAGUCCUCAUGGUCCUUAUACCCAGGGCUACACACGUGCUACAAUGGCCGGUACAGAGGGUUGCAAUACCGCGAGGUGGAGCCAAUCCCAAAAAGCCGGUCUCAGUUCGGAUUGCAGUCUGCAACUCGACUGCAUGAAGGCGGAAUCGCUAGUAAUCGCUGAUCAGCAGGCAGCGGUGAAUAUGUUCCCGGGCCUUGUACACACCGCCCGUCAAGCCACGAAAGCCGGUAGUACCCGAAGUCGCUGAUCUAA